ensembl:lncRNA novel transcript
CUCGUUCUUAUUCUCCCUUUGUUUAAAACCAACACUCCUGGUAAUCAAAGCCUGUUUCAUAACCAACCAGCUUAUGUCUAAUAUUCAUUAGCCACUCAACUAAAAUAUACAUAGAAAUUGCUAAAUACAUUUCUACAUUUAUAAGUCCUUCAAGGAGCAAACGGCUAAACAAACUGUGGUACAUUCAUCAUAGAACACCACUAGGAAUAAAAAGGAACACUAUUCAUACACACAACAACUUGGAUAAACCUCAAGAAAAUUAUGCUGAAUGAAAAUUACCAGUAUGAAAGAAAUAUAUGCUGCAUGAUUCCAUGUAUAUAGAAUUCCUGAAAUGACACAGUUAGAGUGACAGUGAACAGCGUGGGAGCCAGUUGGGAUUCUUUAAAAGGCCUGCUGUGUUGCUGAGUGUCCUAGAAGAAUGUAGCAUUGCAGUGGUUCCGGCUGAACCAAUAAAUCAUGACCUGAAAACACCA